rnacentral:rRNA from 1 species
GACGAACGCUGGCGGCGUGCUUAACACAUGCAAGUCGAACGGAAAGGCCCUUCUCUUGUGGUGCUCUCGAGUGGCGAACGGGUGUAUCACACGUGUGUCAUCUGCCCGUGUCUUUGGGAUAACUUCAAGACACUGGCGCUUAUCCCGGAUAAGCUCUCCUGCCACAUGGUGGGUGGUGAAGUGUUUCGGCGGUUGGGGAUGGACUCGCGGCUUAUCAGCUUGUUGGUGGGGUAGUGGCUUACCAAGGCUUUGACGGGUAGCCGGCCUGAGAGGGUGACCGGCCACAUUGGGACUGAGAUACGGCCCAGACUCCUACGGGAGGCAGCAGUGGGGAAUAUUGCACAAUGGGCGGAAGCCUGUGGAAGAAACGCCGCGUGCGGGAUACCGGCCUUCGGGUUGUAAACGGCUUUCGCCUGUGACGAAGCGUGUGUGACGGUAAUGGGUAAAGAAGCACCGGCUAACUACGUG